rnacentral:lncRNA from 1 species
AGCACUAUUUUAAUAUUUUGUCUCGGUUGACUCAAUCCUUAAAACAGCGUUGCACAGUAGGUGCAUUUUCACUUCCUACUUACAAAAGAGAAGCAGUUUAGUCAACUGCUUGCAGCUUACCAGGGGUAAGAGUUGGGGACGAGUUCUCAAAUUCCGAAGCCUGACUUCGGAGCUGAAGCGACUCCUAGGAACCAUUUUGACUCUGGGGAAGUUGAUUAACCUUUAUGUCCAAUUCCUUUGUUUUUAAAGGGCCAUAACAGCACUUCCUGCCUCCCUAGCUCUGAGAAGUGCUCAGAGAUUAAUGGCAGUGCGUGUCCAUUCCAGCCUUGUGGGUCUCCCCCUGAAUGCAGCAAGCUUCCUUUGAAGUCGAUAAAAGGCUGAUGUGUGUGUGUGUGUGAAGGGAAGCAGAGUUCUUGGCCAGGGAGGAGAUGUGUAGAUACUGAGGAAACAGGUAUAAAUCACUUUUAUUUUCUUGGAAAAUGAUCUAUAUAAGCAUCAAGUAGUACCAACUGUUUGGAAUUUUGUAUUUGAAGAUACAUUCUCCCAAAUGUGAAUUUCUCCUUUGGAAGUCACGAGCUGUGUAACGUUCCCCCAGCGGGAACUUUUAUAUUCCUAGUGCUUGCCCCCCAGGUAACCCAAAAGGUCUCUGUGUAAAACCAGGCCUUAGCCAUCUUUGUUUCAAUGGGUUCAUUUUCUCUCCAUUUCCACGUACUAUUUUACUUGUCCUUGGUCCUUAGUAUACAGUAGGUGCUCAAUAAAACUUGACUCAGAAAGUGGAAGCUGAGAAAUUAGAUUUUGUUUAAGUAUUUAUUGAUUGCUUACAUUCUUAAUGAGGAAGGCUACCUGGAAAAGUUAAAAGUUUUUUGAGGGGUUGGGCAAGGGAUUCCACAAGAACAUUUUAAAAACACAAAAGAGAGGAUGGAAGGAAUCAAGGCUGAAGGCUAGGGGCUAGGAAGCGUCUAUUAACUGGGAAAUGGUAAAAGCCUAAAGAUUGUCUUUCAGAGGCAUGGUUGCCAUAUUUCUUCACAAGUUAAGUUAGACAAAAUUUUACUAGAGUGUAGGGGGAGGUGGAGAGAAGAAGAGGUAGGUAGUCCUCUUUUGGGAUGGGUAACAUGUCAGAUUUUCUAACUGUAACACAGAGUAGCAAGGAUGUGUUCGCCACGUACAGAGGUCAAGGAGCACUCUGGAGCACUAUCUAUGGUUGGGCUCGUAGACAUGGUCUGUAUCACAGGAAAUUGUCCCUGCUAACGCUGCUUCCAAGGGGUGCACACCAGGCCUGUUUUUCUGGUGUUAAACCACCCAGUGUGUCAAGCAAUCCAGACAUGAGCAGGGUUGGGCUGACUUUCUGACUGCUGUUGUUUUUAAUUUACUUUAAUAUUCCUGGGGCAGAGGAGUACAAGAAUCUCUGUAGAAGGCAGUGCUAUGCCCAACUCCCAUGGACCCAAACUUAACACUCAAGAAUAUUUUAUUGCUGGAAUUCAUCAUUUCUGGAAUGAAUUAAUUUGGUCCUUCCGUUUCCUUGUUUUUUUUCUCAGGAGGACAAAAUGAACAGAGUGAUCUCAAGUUGGAAUGACCAUGGAGACGAGCGAUUUCAAUUUCGUUCUCUAACCAGUCAAUUAGUGAAUCACUUAUCUCAUACCUGUUCUACUAAAGUCAUCAGACCACAAUUAAAUGCAGACUUUAAAGAAUAAUGUAAGAGUCACUAUGCCUAAGGAAUAUAGGCAGGGUUACUAUCAGAAAUAUUAAUCAAUAAUAUAAUUUAUUGUUUUUAAAAAAUAAAGAAAAAAGUGAGUCUUAUGAGGCAGAAAAUCACUUGACAAAAAUUAAC